GAUGAACGCUGGCGGCGUGCCUAAUACAUGCAAGUCGAGCGAACAGAUAAGGAGCUUGCUCCUUUGACGUUAGCGGCGGACGGGUGAGUAACACGUGGGUAACCUAUCUAUAAUUCUGGAAUAACUCCGGGAAACCGGGUCUAAUGCCGGAUAACAUGUUGAACCGCAUGGUUCUACAGUGAAAGGCGGCUUUCCUGUCACUUAUAGAUGGACCCGCGCCGUAUUAGCUAGUUGGUGAGGUAACGGCUCACCAAGGCAACGAUACGUAGCUGACCUGAGAGGGUGAUCGGCCACACUGGAACUGAGACACGGUCCAGACUCCUACGGGAGGCAGCAGUAGGGAAUCUUCCGCAAUGGGCGAAAGCCUGACGGAGCAACGCCGCGUGAGUGAUGAAGGUCUUCGGAUCGUAAAACUCUGUUAUUAGGAAAGAACAAAUGCGUGAGUAACUGUGCGCGUCUUGACGGUACCUAAUCAGAAAGCUACGGCUAACUACGUG
rnacentral:rRNA from 1 species